UACACACUUGGAUAUGUAAAAGGAUGCGUGGGUUUUUCUGAUUACUCGAGAAUGUGUAAUGAAUAGUAAAAAAAAGUAGGAAAUUGUCUAAUUUUAGUAAUUUCGCACAUGACCUUUUUAUUGACAUCAAUGAUGAGUAUGCAUGUCUGAAAUUUGUUUACGGAAUUCAAAACGUAUAUAAAUAAUUGUUCAACUUUCUUAGGACAUAACUUCAACGGCAAUCAAGCUACACUACUUUUACUAAACUAAGACUUGUGUUUGUAACUACCGUCAAGAUGAAAGUAGCAUUUACUGUAUGUUGUCUCUUUGCUGUUGUUUACUAUUGCCAUGGAGCUUGUUGGGUAAUACCUCCUACAUCAGGUCGGAAUAACGUGUAUGAAACAUGUUUCUUUGCUGGUGAAAUAAUGUAUCCAGGUUCUACAAUUACAAGGAACUGUGUGAGUUGUUACUGUGGACAUUCAAGUGGCGGAUAUCUCAAAUGUUGCUCAGUCGGAAAUAAAGUUAAAAAAAUCCCUGACGACUGUAAAAAGAUAGUAUCUCCCGAUGGUUGCUACGAACACGUUGUUAAAGUAUCAGACGAAAGCAGCAUUUGUGACCAUGGUGUCGCUAUGGUAGGACGAUGAUGAAGACCUAUGAUGAUGAAAUCCAAACUUCUCAGGGAUAACAUUGGAAACAAGUAGCCGAGCCGAGUUAUCGGUGACGCGAAUUUGGCCAGUGGUGUCGUUUCCAGUAAAUCUUUUUUCUACAAAUAUAUUUAUUCGUACACAUA